rnacentral:rRNA from 1 species
CCUUCGGGUUGUAAACCUCUUUUAGUAGGGAAGAAGCGAAAGUGACGGUACCUGCAGAAAAAGCACCGGCUAACUACGUGCCAGCAGCCGCGGUAAUACGUAGGGUGCAAGCGUUGUCCGGAAUUAUUGGGCGUAAAGAGCUCGUAGGCGGUUUGUCGCGUCUGCUGUGAAAUCCCGAGGCUCAACCUCGGGGCUUGCAGUGGGUACGGGCAGACUAGAGUGCGGUAGGGGAGAUUGGAAUUCCUGGUGUAGCGGUGGAAUGCGCAGAUAUCAGGAGGAACACCGAUGGCGAAGGCAGAUCUCUGGGCCGUAACUGACGCUGAGGAGCGAAAGCAUGGGGAGCGAACAGGAUUAGAUACCCUGGUAGUCCAUGC